CCGAAUCAGAAAUCAACACAAGCUAGUGUUGUCAAGCAGUUUGUUCAAUUUCCAUCACAUUGUUCGACAACAACACUGUUUGUAUUAAUUUAUUAAAUCACAUAUUGCAGAACAACAGCUGUUUAUUAAAACUCCAUUACGCUAUAGCAGCUAUUCGACAAUACUAACACAAGCUUGCAGUCGAAGGGCUUUGAAUAAAAAGUAACAUAAAAGUUGUUGGGACAAAAUGUAAAUCAUAGAUAGAUAUUCAAACUUCCCUCCUCUAUCUCUCUUUCUUUUAUUCUCGUAUGUAUCGCAAUUGAGCACCUCUAGUGUAUAGGCAUGUUCACCAACUUUAAAACAUUGCCAUUGUUAGAUUUGGGAAGGUUUUAAAAUUCACUCCACAAAUCAACCAUACUUAUCU
rnacentral:lncRNA from 1 species